AGCGAACGCUGGCGGCAGGCUUAACACAUGCAAGUCGAACGCCCCGCAAGGGGAGUGGCAGACGGGUGAGGAACACGUGGGAACGUACCCUUCGGUUCGGAAUAACUCAGGGAAACUUGUGCUAAUACCGGAUACGUCCGAAAGGAGAAAGAUUUAUCGCCGAAGGAUCGGCCCGCGUCUGAUUAGCUUGUUGGUGAGGUAACGGCUCACCAAGGCGACGAUCAGUAGCUGGUCUGAGAGGAUGAUCAGCCACACUGGGACUGAGACACGGCCCAGACUCCUACGGGAGGCAGCAGUGGGGAAUAUUGGACAAUGGGGGCAACCCUGAUCCAGCCAUGCCGCGUGAGUGAUGAAGGCCUUAGGGUUGUAAAGCUCUUUUGUCCGGGAAGAUAAUGACGGUACCGGAAGAAUAAGCCCCGGCUAACUUCGUGCCAGCAGCCGCGGUAAUACGAAGGGGGCUAGCGUUGCUCGGAAUCACUGGGCGUAAAGCGCACGUAGGCGGGCUUUUAAGUCGGAGGUGAAAUCCCAGGGCUCAACCCUGGAACUGCCUUCGAUACUGGAAGUCUUGAGUCCGGAAGAGGUGAGUGGAACUCCGAGUGUAGAGGUGAAAUUCGUAGAUAUUCGGAAGAACCACCCAGUGGCGAAAGGCGGCUCAC
rnacentral:rRNA from 1 species